CUGACCUCAGGUGAUCUGCCCACCUCGGCCUCCCAAAGUGCUGGGAUUACAGGCAUGAGUCACUGUGCCUGGCCUUCUAGAAAAGUUUCUGAGGGAAGUGUGUGGGAAAAAGAUCUUUGUGGGAGAUGAUGGGGCCUUGCCUGUGUUAAAAAUCAUUCAUUCAGAAAAUGUUUGUUGAGGUCUUCUGAGUGCCCAGGCCAGUGCCAGGGCUUCAGAGGUGAGGAAUGCUACUUCGUGGGAGGUGAAAUGAGUACUUUGGGCUGAGGCAGGUCAAUGUUCUCAGCCACGUUCCUGGUUCCACCACAGGGUUAAGUUGCCAGAUCCAACCUGUCCUUCCAUGGAAGCAUCUAAGCCUUCAGGAUGCUCAGAGGCUCACGUAGAUCUCCUCACAAGUCCCCAGGCCAGGUGCUCCCCUGAAUUCCCUGACCUGCACAGUUGAGGGUUAAUGCUCUUGACAACCUCAAGGGUGGACAAGUAGGAAUCCAGGAGUCCCUGAAAGAGGUGGGCCUAGCACGAGGGACAGCCUCAGAAGGCCACAAGUACAAGGUCAAGAAAUCAGCAGUUGCUCAAGUCAGCAGAGGUGGUAGGAGUGUGUAUUGGAGGUGGUGAGUGAAAAAUCCUGUGUUAAAGAAAUGUGUUUUGUUUGGCUUAUAUCCCCAAAGCAUAGCACGGCGUCUGACAUGGGUAGGCAGAUAGUAAAUAAAAUGUGUUGUUUUGCAUUGAGUUAAAUUGAGUUGAGAUGGCCCUGGCCCACCCCUGGGUGCCAGGGCAGGGGGAGGAAGCUAGGAAAGUGCCUGGAGCUGAGGUGGUUCCCAUUAGUCCUCAUGAUUAAUUCACAGCCACACUGUGAUGGAGUGGGCUUGUCCCCAGUCAGCGCCUCCGCUGGGGCCCACCUGUUAGCGACAAACAAACAAAGAGGAUAAAUAAUGCAUUGGGAGCUGAGCCAGGCAAGGCGGUGGUAUUGAAAUUAAUAGGGAUUAGCUGAGCAGCUUGAGGAUGAAAUAUUUACCAGGUGGGACAGGGCUUAGGGAGGGCAUCCCCCCUUCCCAGAGUCCCUAGGCAUAGCUAGGCCCUUCUCCAGGGCAUCAUUGGCUAGGACUGGGGAGCCCCAGUACCACCACUGCCACCCUGGCUGCCUGGAUUUGCAGGACAGGCUGGCCAGACAAAUGAAAGCUCAGGUUCCAGCCAGUCUCCUGACACAGUGAAGUCCUGGAGAAACCAAGAUGCUAGAAGGGAACGGAGGUAGGGAAGGGGCUGAAACCUUCAGGGCUUUGGAAGCUAGAGACAAAGACCAUGACAGGGUUUCAGGGCCUGGACAUGUCAAGGCUUUGGGUGGCAAAUGUCAGGAGUAGGUUUGCCUGUGAUCUUACCCUUUUUUCUUUUCCUCUAGUCCUUCCUUUCUUCUUUUCAGUGUGUGUUUACUGAGGGUCUCUGUGUAUAACAUCUGUGCCCUCAAAGAGUUCAUGGUCUAGCACGAGGUGAGGGAGAGGCAGUUAAGAUACGUGAAGAAUUGGCUGCUGUGGGAGCACACAGAAGGGGUUUCUAACACAGAGGUGUGAUGGAGGGAAGGCACCUAGAGGAAGUGCUAGGAAGCCUCGGUUCUGAGAGGAGAGGGCAAUGAGCCAGGUGAGAAGUGGGGAGCAGUUUUCCAGGCAGAAGGCAUAGGACUUGAAAACCCAAGGGGCGAAUGAGCCUGAACUUGGCUGUAUAACGGGAAAAUGGGAAUGAUGAGACCAGAGAUGUAAAGAGGUCCAGAACCCAGACUUUUAUAAAGGGGUUUGAAUGCAGUGGGAGCUGAGUCAGGCAAGGUGGCAAUAUUGAACUUAAUAGGGAUUAGCUGAGCAGUCCUGAGAGCAGCGAGGAGCCACCGGAGGUGGUGCUGGUGGUGGUAGUUUUAAUUUUUGACUCUUAAACUUUUUACUUAGGAUUAAUUUUACAUUUGUAGGAAAGUUUCCAUGUAUCCCUCACCUGGCUUUCCCUCAUGUUAACAUCUUACUUAAUCACAAUACAAUUGUCAGUACCAGAAAAUUAACAUUGGUACUGUGCUACAUUAAAGGCCUUAUUAGGUCAGGUGUGGUGGUGCACACUUGUAAUCCCAGCUACUUGGGAGGCUGAGGCACCGGAAUUGCCUGAACCUGGGAGGCAGAAAUGCAGUGAACCGAGAUCGGACCACUGCACUCAAGUCUGGGCAACAGAGAAACCCUGUCUCAAAAAAAAAAAAACAACCUUAUUUUAAUUUCACUAAUGUCCUUUUUCUGCUCCAGGAUCAUUGAAGGGUUUUAAGACAGGGAGUGAAAUGACCAGAUUGGUGGUUUAAAAGGACACCAUGGAAGAAAGAUUGGCAGGGGAACUGCUGUUACCUAGAUGAGAGAUGAUGGCGGCCUGGACCAGGAUGGCGGUUAUAGGAAUAUGGGCUUAGAAAUUAUUGUAAAAUAUAUGGUAAUUAGACGCCCAAGAGUGACAAGUUUGCCCGAGGUGGGGGGUGGAGAGAGUGAGAAGGGAAGAGGACCAAUGGCAGCUCUGAGCAACACCCUUAUCUAAGACGUGGUCAGAAGAAAGGGAAUGUUCACAGGACCCAAGGAGAAUUGCAUGGAAAGUGACGGUGGGUCACUGAAGCCCAGGGAAGAGAGCUUCAAGGAGUGGACUGUUCACCAAUUGUCCAUCAAUCAAAACCUGAUAAGCUUCAUCCUCAUGAGUCAUAGGGAUCAUUAGAGAAAGCAGUGUUGGUAAAGCAGUGAUCAGAUUGCAAGGCAGGAGACAAGGAAAUAAGAUCUUGAGUGUAAACAACUCUGAAGUUCGCCUCUAAAAGGGAGGAGAGAUUGGGCACUAGCCAAAUGGAAAAGGGAGUUAAAGGGAGAUGUUUUUACUACCAAGAUGGAAGAGAGUUAAUAUAUUUACAUGCUUAUGUGAAGGAACCAGUGCAGAAGAAAAAAGUGAAGCUGUAUCAGAGGAAAUAGAAAUAAUCAAUAAUAUAAGGACCUUGAAAAGGCCUGGAUUUUGGGUUGGACCCUACCCAGGUGGAAUGGAAGGGAUGGGCUUAGAAAGUGACAUCAGGCUUGGCCCUCUCUUGUGACAAGAUGAGAGGACUGGAGCAGACUCAGGAGAGUGGCUUCUGUGUGGCUCCUGUGAAGUAGGAGAUAAGAUGGGUGAGGGGUUUGAGGUUAUGUUGAGGGUAGGGGAUUUGAGAUUUGUGGAACGUGGAGAAACUUGAAAUUGUUACUAGGGGUGAAGGGAAAGAGAGUACACACUGAUCAGGAACACUGAAGAUAGGCUGGGAAGUUUUAUAUACCAACUGAGGCUGAAGACUCUGAUUUUAUAAGUGGCACUAGUCUGUAUAGUUGUGAUUUUCUCUAGUGACAUGCUCCAGGUGGCAGGCACGGAGAAGGCAGAGUUUGGGUUUUUCCAGGCAAGGGUGACAAAGAAAAGGUAAUACGAGAGUUGAGGAUUGGCAAGAAAAAGACUGAAAUGAUGGACCAUGGAAUCGAGGCUCCAAAGGCAGACAUGUCAGUUAUGUUACUAGGACAGAAACUGUGACUUUUCCCUUCCUUUUCACUAAAUAGAACUCCUGUAUAAUUAUAGAACCCCUGUGUAAUAAUCUUUGUGUACCCAGUUAAAAGACUACUGUUUUAGUUUUCUAGACAGCUAGGUACAACCAUGUCUCUGAGCUCCAGCCAGUGAAACAAAAGGAAAUGUAUUAUCUGGGACUUCCAGGGAUGAUACUUAAAGGGGAACAACUCAGCUGGGAAAUACACUAGUCUUGCCUUUUCCCAUCUUCCCCCUUCCUUUCUCCUGGAAUGCAGAUUUGAUGGUUGGAGCUCCAGCAGCUAUUUUGGACUAAAAAAUAGUUUGAGGAUUGAAAACCAUGUGCUGAGAAUGGCAGGGCAGAAAGAAUUCUGAAGAGUCUGAUGCGUUUGUGGAACUGCAGGGCUUUUAGUCAACUUAUAUUGCAACCAUACUCAUAAAAUGCCUUUCUUAGUAAAGCUGUAUUUCUUCCCUCUCUGUUUUCACUUAGGUUUCAGUCUAAACUUGAUUCUUUUAGCCUUUUUUGUAACAUGGCCUGUGUCCUGAGAUACAGCAAGAAACAAUUUGAUCAAAUGUUUCAAGAGAGA